UGAGUGCUCCCGGAUGUUAGCGGCGGACGGGUGAGUAACACGUGGGUAACCUGCCUGUAAGACUGGGAUAACUCCGGGAAACCGGAGCUAAUACCGGAUAGUUCCUUGAACCGCAUGGUUCAAGGAUGAAAGACGGUUUCGGCUGUCACUUACAGAUGGACCCGCGGCGCAUUAGCUAGUUGGUGGGGUAAUGGCUCACCAAGGCGACGAUGCGUAGCCGACCUGAGAGGGUGAUCGGCCACACUGGGACUGAGACACGGCCCAGACUCCUACGGGAGGCAGCAGUAGGGAAUCUUCCGCAAUGGACGAAAGUCUGACGGAGCAACGCCGCGUGAGUGAUGAAGGUUUUCGGAUCGUAAAGCUCUGUUGUUAGGGAAGAACAAGUGCGAGAGUAACUGCUCGCACCUUGACGGUACCUAACCAGAAAGCCACGGCUAACUACGUGCCAGCAGCCGCGGUAAUACGUAGGUGGCAAGCGUUGUCCGGAAUUAUUGGGCGUAAAGGGCUCGCAGGCGGUUUCUUAAGUCUGAUGUGAAAGCCCCCGGCUCAACCGGGGAGGGUCAUUGGAAACUGGGAAACUUGAGUGCAGAAGAGGAGAGUGGAAUUCCACGUGUAGCGGUGAAAUGCGUAGAGAUGUGGAGGAACACCAGUGGCGAAGGCGACUCUCUGGUCUGUAACUGACGCUGAGGAGCGAAAGCGUGGGGAGCGAACAGGAUUAGAUACCCUGGUAGUCCACGCCGUAAACGAUGAGUGCUAAGUGUUAGGGGGUUUCCGCCCCUUAGUGCUGCAGCUAACGCAUUAAGCACUCCGCCGGGGAGUACGGGUCGCAAGAUGAAACUCAAAGGAAUUGACGGGGGCCCGCACAAGCGGAGCAUGUGGUUUAAUUUCAGCAACGCGAAGAACUUACGUCCCUGACACCUAAAAGGCUUCCCUUCGCGAGGGGGGUGGCGUCGCUCGCGGUGGUAAGAAAACCCUAUUGCUUUGCUCUAGCCAAAGCCUACUGGGUGACCGACUGGUGUUGCAACUCUCGUGGUGUGACGGGCGGUGUGUACAAGGCCCGGGAACGUAUUCACCGCGGCAUGCUGAUCCGCGAUUACUAGCGAUUCCAGCUUCACGCAGUCGAGUUGCAGACUGCGAUCCGAACUGAGAACAGAUUUAUGGGAUUGGCUAAACCUUGCGGUCUUGCAGCCCUUUGUUCUGUCCAUUGUAGCACGUGUGUAGCCCAGGUCAUAAGGGGCAUGAUGAUUUGACGUCAUCCCCACCUUCCUCCGGUUUGUCACCGGCAGUCACCUUAGAGUGCCCAACUGAAUGCUGGCAACUAAGAUCAAGGGUUGCGCUCGUUGCGGGACUUAACCCAACAUCUCACGACACGAGCUGACGACAACCAUGCACCACCUGUCACUCUGUCCCCGAAGGGAAAGCCCUAUCUCUAGGGUUGUCAGAGGAUGUCAAGACCUGGUAAGGUUCUUCGCGUUGCUUCGAAUUAAACCACAUGCUCCACCGCUUGUGCGGGCCCCCGUCAAUUCCUUUGAGUUUCAGUCUUGCGACCGUACUCCCCAGGCGGAGUGCUUAAUGCGUUAGCUGCAGCACUAAGGGGCGGAAACCCCCUAACACUUAGCACUCAUCGUUUACGGCGUGGACUACCAGGGUAUCUAAUCCUGUUCGCUCCCCACGCUUUCGCUCCUCAGCGUCAGUUACAGACCAGAGAGUCGCCUUCGCCACUGGUGUUCCUCCACAUCUCUACGCAUUUCACCGCUACACGUGGAAUUCCACUCUCCUCUUCUGCACUCAAGUUUCCCAGUUUCCAAUGACCCUCCCCGGUUGAGCCGGGGGCUUUCACAUCAGACUUAAGAAACCGCCUGCGAGCCCUUUACGCCCAAUAAUUCCAAACGCUUGCCACCUACGUAUUACCGCGGCUGCUGGACGUAGUUAGCCGUUCUGGUUAGGACCGUCAAGGUGCGAGCAUUACUCUCGCAUUUCCAACAGACUUUACAUCGAAAACUCACAGCUCCAGAUUUGCGAAUCAGUCCAGGGAGCCAGGGCACA
rnacentral:rRNA from 1 species